AUGCUCCAGCCAGUGAGAACACCAAGGCCCCAGAGAUGAAAUCCCGGAGGCCCAAGAGCUCUCUUCCUCCCGUGCUAGGAACUGAGAGUGAUGCGACUGUGAAAAAGAAACCUGCCCCCAAGACACCUCCGAAGGCAGGUAAUUGGCCACGGUACUAUCUGGGGUCAAAGAAGUCAUCUACCAUGGGGGUUUUGCCUUUUCCUUGCUAGACUGACUCCUGGGUGUGUGAUCCCAGGAGACACCCCACUGCAACCCCACCCCCACCCUCAGUUCCAGCUCUGCAUUUUUCAGGCUGAGUUUGCUCAUGGAGAGCCUCUGCACAGCCUGGCUCCUGGUCCCCUUCCACAGCUUUGUCU
rnacentral:sRNA from 1 species